CCUCCAGCAGCAGGAUGUGAGCCACCGGCAAGGAGGGACGCCAAUAAGGCGUCCGAUAAGAUAAGUCUUAUAACAUAUAUAGAUUUAUGAUAAUUAAGACUGAGCUAACAGAUGAGAAUCCUAGUCAUUGGCCAAGCAGCAUUGUACCUAGUACAACUUUCUGUGUAUUUAUUUGGGCCUAACUUGGGCAGGCGGCUGGCAUAAAGCUCACAUGUGGCAGUGGGGCUCAGGCAGCUUUUGGCAGAAAGAUUUAUUGUAACAACAAAGUCCUUGGCAUGUCUCAGAGAGAGAUUCUACAUUGGGAUAACAGAGGUAGGAAGACAUGCCCUAAAUGUGAGACCUAACAUUCUUUUUAUAUCUCAGUCUUAAUGGAAAGUAAAAAUCAAGAGCAUCAACAUUCAUCUCUCUCUGAUUUCUUUUUCAUAGGUUCUUGGAUAGGAUUUACUUUGCUAUUCAUGUUCAAAUUUGUGGCAUAGGGCCUGCUUGGUUCAGCUCUUCUCUUCAAUUUCUUACUUAGAAAAGCAAUAGAAACCCUAACUAAGACACCAUCCAAAUGCAACAGUUAUAACAAGACCACUACACUGAAGACUCGGGGGACUUCACAGAAGAGGAAGAAGAUGGUAAAAGUCAGAGGACUAGGAUGACUGCAGCAAUAUAGUGUAUUCUAGAUAUGACAGGGAUGCUGUGCCUGUGAGCUCUCAACAAUGUGGUUGCCUAAACAAAACAAACAUGAAGCCAUACUAGUCAAUAUGCACUUGGCAAAAUCUUCUAAGGUACGAUCCCUUGAGGUAUAAGCAGUCAAUGUCUAAGGGAGGAUCCGUUUUCUUCAGUGAAAAGCACCAUGUUAGGUUUACGAAUCCUAAGUGGUCAGGUCUAAGUACACCACACACAUACACACACACACACACACACACACACACACACACACACACACACACACACACAGGAUACAUUAAGACUAAGUAGAGAGAGUGAGUGUGUGUGUGUGUGUUUGUGAGAUGUGGUGUGUACAGCAAAAACAAUUAUAGAAGUCAUGGGUUAAAGAGAGUAUAGUAAGGAGGAUAAGGAAAAGGUUGGGGCAGAAGGAGAGGAGUAGAAAUGAUAUGUGGUGUGGUUAUGUAUGACAUUCUCAAAAAAGUUUUUAAAAAGGUUCCAUCUAUCUUAAUGUUUGUUACUAUUAUUAUUUUUUUAUACUCUCAAAUAUUACCAGACUUUGGAUAACUGUCAAAUACUACUGGUAUUUGGCAAAAAUGUCAUCAACCCAAAUUAGUGAAAGAAAUGUUCAUUUGUUACUCUAACACAUUUCCCCCACAACAUUCUGCAGCGGGUUGAAAAUGAGGAUUUAAAUAGAGCAUUGCCUAGAUUUUUUUAUCCUAUGCUAAGGCCAUAAGAGCAUUCUAUCAGACAGGCUUAUCUUUAAAAAGACUCAAAAGCAGUGAGGUUUCCAUCAGCAAAGAAGAAAUCUGCCGGUCAUACUCAUCAGGUGAUUUAACUUUAAUAUUCUGCACUGUAGGCAUAUUCUCUGUUCACUGUCUCAGGCAGCAGGCAGGCCCUCCAGGGCUGUUACUACUUAUUCAUCUGCUGGUUAUUUUACCAGCUCCCAAGCACCCAAGAACAUUAUUUUAUUGGUGUGAACACUGCUUUUAUCAUCUUGGGGGAAUAACUCCUUUCCUGCUGAAGUCCCUUUGGCCAGUACAGAGGACAUAGAUGCAUAUUGUUCAUUUUCAUAUCUAAGAGGGUCUUCUGAAAGGCUUCCUUUAGCAAUUUUCCUUAAAGCAGAUGGGUCACAACUUCCUGACAAUGAUUCACAACUUUCUCUUUGAACUUUUUUUGGGUGGCUUCUCCCCCUUCAUUAUUGUUAUAAUGUGUGUAUAUGCAGCUAAUAGGGCAAUAUCCAGCAUCAGUGGCCACCUUUAUAGUUUCCUGGACUUGUUUUGUCUGAGACUUCCAGGUGCCCCAGCCAACACUGAACAUCAUGACUUUGGUAUUGAGCUCCACAGAUAUAGCCAUGGUUGCUACAGAAUUUGUUUUUGAGACAGUGGACAUCUUUGUUGCAUUUCUUAUUUCAAUUAUUUUCUCAAAAGGUCCAUGUUGAAUAAAAUGGGGAAGAGGGAGUAAUUAAUAUAUUUAGCUCUCUUGAUAAGUGGCUUUCUUAUAUGGUGACCCUUCAAAAGGAAAUGGAAUGGAAAAUGAGGGAGGAAUUCAGUGCUGCACCCAGUAGGGGGCAUUGAAGAGCAGGUCCAUCUUGCUGUCACUCCAUAUUCUUCUUUAGAAGGUCCAUCGGUUCUCAUGACCUGUAGACUAGCCCAUACCCACUGUUUCUUAUGUAUUAAAUGUGUCUAGGGUUAUAUCAAAAGAUUUUCCCCAAAGGCUCUCCUUUCCUUCAGACAUUCACAUUGCAUUUAUAUCUCAUCCCUUGGGGCAAAACUCUCCAAUUCUGCCAUAGAUCAAGAAUCCUAGCUGCAAACUCACCCUUGGUAUAUUUUCUUUUGCUAGACAAAGUGCACUGUUAACUAUCUUGAAAAGGAUAGUUGCUCAAUGAAGAAAAUACUAAAUCACUUUCAUCUGCAAGCCUCUGGAUCUAAACACAUCCAGUGCUCCUCAGAGUUCCAAAUGCAUGUUAGGACUGUCAUGGAUUGGUUUUCUUUCAUACAUCAUUCACCCAAACACCAGCAUUCUACCACUACUUAGGAGAAGACUACUCCUUAGACCUCUUCUAUUUCCAACUAACUCAUGUUGUGAACAGAGGCCCAAUAUUGUCAGCCAUUUUCAUUGGGAGCAUGGAAUGACAUGGAAAAUCAUUAUUAACUAUGAAAGCUUGGCCAUGAGCAUAGGUUAUUCCCUAACAAAUUCUUAUAACUUAAAUAAACCCAUAACUUUUAAUCUACAUUCUUUUAUGUAGCUUGGUUACCUUUAUCUAUAAAUUCCAUACUGCUUCCUCUCCAUCUGGCUGGCAUUCCACUCUGAUUUUUCCUAAUAUCCUCUGUGCCUGGAAAUCCUGCCUAGCUAUUGGCCAUUCAUAUUUUAUUAAACCAACCAGAGUGAAACAUCUUCACAAUAUACAAAAAGGUUAAUCUCUUAAGUAAACUUCUUUUCUGAAUUUGGUAACAAGGAAAACUGUAAAACUAUAUCUAGUCUUCAAUCUCCACUGGAGACCCAAGAAGGAUGAGAUAUUACAUGAAUAAACAAGAAAUAAAAAAGCACUUCUCCACUGCUGGUGGGAGUGCCAACUGGUACAGCCACUUUGGAAAUCAGUAUGGCGAAUCCUCAAGAAAAUGGGAAUCAGUCUACCACAAGAUCCAGCAAUUCCACUCUUAGGCAUAUACCCAAAAGAAGCACUUUCACUCAACAAGGACAUCUGUUCAACGAUGUUCACAGCAGCACUAUUUGUUUUUGUUUUUUUAUUUCUUUUUUUUUGUUUGAGUUACAAACAUGAUUGAAUUACAUGACAAUCCCAGUUCCCUUCUCCCUCCAAUCCUCCCUUACCACCCCCCCAACUAAAACCCUACCUAUCGUAUAUCCUUUCUUCUAAUCUAUACCUGACUCAACCUUUCUGCUCCCUCAUGACCUCUGCAUCCUUCCUCUUCUUCCCUUCUCAUUGUCGUAGCUACCUCUGCCCUCUUCCCAUGCUCUCAAUUUGCUCAGGGGAUCGUGUCCCUUUCCCUUUCUCCAAGGGACAAAGUUUGUCUCUUUUAGGGUCCUCCUUGUUUAAUAGUUUCUAUGGCAGUAUUAUUGUAGGCUGGUAAUCCUUUACUCUAUGUUUAAAAUCCACAUAGGAUUGAGUACAUAUUCAUGUUUGUCUUUUUGUGAUUGGGAUACCUUGCUCAGAAUGGUUUCUUCUAGUUCCAUCCAUUUUCCUGCAAAUUUCAAGAUUCUAUUGUGUUUUCAUGCUGAGUAGUAUUCCAUUGUGUAAAUGUACAACAUUUUCUCUAUCUAAUCUUCGACUGAGGGGCAUCUAGGCUGCUUCCAGUUUCUGGCUAUUACAAAUAGGGCUGCUAGGAACAUAGUUGAACAGAUGUCCUUGUUGUAUGAAUGUGCUUCUUUUGGGUAUAUGCCUAGGAGUGGAAUUGCUGGAUCAUGUGGUAGACUCAAUCCCAUUUUCUUGAGGAGUCACCAUACUGAUUUCCAAAGUGGCUGUACAAGUUGGCACUCCCACCAGCAGUGAAGAAGUGUUCCCCUUUCUCCACACACUCUCCAGCAUAAACUGUCAUUGGUGUUUUUUAUUUUAGCCAUUGUGACAGGAGUAAGAUGGUGUCUCAGAGUUGUUUUGAUUUGCAUUUCCUUGAUGGCUAAGGAUGUUGAAUACUUUCUUAAGUGUCUUUCAGCCAUUUUAGAUUCCUCUAUUGAGACUUGUCUAUUUAAUUCUGUACCCCACUUUUUAAUUGGGUUGUUUGGUGUUCUGGAGACUAGCUUCUUGAGUUCUUUGUAUAUUUUGGAGAUCAGCCCUCUGUCAGAUGUGGGUUUGGUGAAUACCUUUUCCAGGUGUUUUGUCUUGCUGACUGUGUCCUUUGCCUUACAGAAGCUUCUCAGUUUCAGGAGGUCCCAUUUAUUAAUUGUUGAUCUCAGUGUCUGUGCUACUGGUGUAAUGUCCAGGAAGCAGUCUACUUCACCAAUUAAUUCAAGGGUAUUUCCCACUUUAUCUUCUAAUAGGUUCAUUGUGGCUGGGUUUAUGUUGAGGUCUUUGAUCCAUUUUGACCUAAGUUUUGUGCAGGGUGAAAGGUGUGGGUCUAUCUGCAGUCUUCUACAUGUUUGCAUCCAGUUAUGCCAGCACCAUUUGUUGAAGAUGUUCUCUUUGUUCCAGUGUAUAUAUUUGGAUUGUUUGUCAAAAGGCAGGUGUUCGUAGGUGUGUGGGUUAGUAUCAGGGUUUUCAACUCUAUUCCAUUGAUCUACCUGUCUAUUUUUGUGCCAAUACCAAGCUGUUUUCAGGACUAUAGCUCUGUAAUAGAGCUUGAAGUCAGAGAUGGUGAUGCCUCCAGAAGUUCUUCUAUUGUACAGGGUUGUUUUGGCUAUCCUGGGUCUUUUGUUUCUCCAUAAAAGUUGAGGAUUGUUCUUUCAAGAUCAAUGAAGAAUUGUGUUGGGAUUUUGAUGGGGAUUGCAUGGAAUCUGUAGAUUGCUUUUGGCAAGAUUACCAUUUUUAUUAUGUUGAUCCUGCCUAUCCAAGAGCAUGGGAGAUCUUUCCAUUUUCUGGUAUCUUCUUUUAUUUCUUUCUUUAGAGACUCAAAAUUCUUAGGGUACAAGUCUUUCACCUCUUUGGUUAGUUUUACCCCCAAGGUAUUUUAUGUUGUUUGUGCAAUUGUAAAGGGUGAUGUUUCUUUGUUUUCUUUCUCCACCAAUGUGUCAUCCAUAUAUAGUAGGGCUACAGAUUUUUUGAGUUAAUCUUGUAUCCUGCCACUUUAGCAGCACUAUUUGUAAUAGCCAGAAGCAGCCUAGAUGCCCCUCAACUGAAGAAUGGAUAGAGAAAAUGUGGUACAUUUACACAAUGGAGUUCUACUCAGCAGGGAAAAAAUGGAAUCUUGAAAUUUGCAGGAAAAUGGAUGGAACUCGAAGAAACCAUUCUGAGUGAGGUAACCCAAUCACAAAAUGAAGAACAUGGUAUGUAUUCACUCAUAGGCAGAUUUUAGGCAUAGAGUAAAAGAUUACCAGCCUACAAUCCACACUGCCAGAGAAGAUAGUAAACAAGGAAGACCCUAAGAGAGACAUGCAUGGUCCCAUGGAAAAGGGGAAAGGGUCAAGAAUCCCUGAACAAAUUGGGAGCAGGGGAAGAGGGAGGAGGGAGCUAGGAGAAAGAGAAGGGGAGAAGAGGAGGGAUGCAGAGGACAUGAGGCAGCAGAAAGGUUGAGUCAGGGGAAGAAUAGAUGAUAACAAAAAUGGAGAUAUAAUAGAGGGAGAUAUUUUAGGUUUACAGAGAAAUCAGACACUAGGGAAAUGUCUGGAGAUCUACAAAGAUGACACCAGCUAACAAUCUAAGCAACAGAGGAGAGGCCACCUUAAAUGCCCUCCCCUCAUCAAUAAUGAGACUGAUGACUGAUUUAAAUGCCACCUGAUAGCCCUCAUAAGAAGCUGGUGGAAGUAGAAGCACAUACCCACAACUAAUCACUGAAAUGAACUGGAACCCUGAUGCAGAGAAGGACGAGCGAUGAGCAAAGGGGUCCAGACCAGGCUGGUGAAAACCACAGAAACAGCUGACCUGAACAUCAGGGAACUCUUGCUCCCCAGACUGAUAGCUGGAAUACCAGCAUGGGACUGUUCCAGACCUCUGGAACAUGGGUUACAGUGAUGUAACCUCGGAAAUCUACAGGAUCUCCUGUAGUAGUUCAGUCCUUAUCCCUAGCAUAGGUGUGGACUUUGGGAACCCAUUCCAUAUAGAGGAAUACUCCCAGAGCCAAGACACAUGGGGGUUGGCCUAGGCCCAAUCCCAAAGGAUAUGAUAGACUCUGAUGAUGCCCUAUGAGAGGCCUCGUCAUCCAGGGGGAGCAGAAAGGAUAUGUGAUAUGUAGGGUUUUAGUUGGGGAGUUUGUAGGGGAGGAUGGGAGGGAGAAGAGAACUGGGAAUGUCAUGUAAAACAAUCCUGUUUCUAAUUCAAAUAAAAAUAUCUGAAAAGAAGAAGUACAAAGCAAACAAUUUCCAAAAC
ensembl:lncRNA